rnacentral:rRNA from 1 species
AGUGAACGCUGGCGGUAGGCCUAACACAUGCAAGUCGAACGGCAGCACAGUAAGAGCUUGCUCUUACGGGUGGCGAGUGGCGGACGGGUGAGGUAUACAUCGGACUCUACUUUUUCGUGGGGGCUAACGUAGGGAAACUUACGCUAAUACCGCAUACUACCUACGGGUGAAAGCAGGGGAUGUUCGGACCUUUCGCGAUUGAAUGAGCCGAUGUCGGAUUAGCUAGUUGGCGGGGUAAAGGCCCACCAAGGCGACGAUCCGUAGCUGGUCUGAGAGGGUGAAGCGCCACACUGGAACUGAGACACGGUCCAGACUCCUACGGGAGGCAGCAGUGGGGAAUAUUGGACGAUGGGGGGAAGCAUGAUCCAGCCAUACCGAGUGGGUGAAGAAGGACUUCGGGUUGUAAAGACAUUUUGUUGGGAAAGAAAAGCAGCAGGUUAAUACCACGAUGUUAUGACGGUACCCAAAGAAUAAGCACCGGCUAACUUCGUG